rnacentral:lncRNA from 1 species
GAAGGCAGGCGAAAAGCACACACAAAAAAAGAAAGCUAAAAUCUUUUUUUUCUUUUCUUCUUUUGAAACCCAUUAUAAGGCUUUUGCUUUUUAUAUUCUAUAUCUAUAUAAUAUUAGAAAUCUAUUUCACUGGUUUGAUUUACAUACCUCAGUCGGACUCAACAUCUUAACAAAAGUGAAAGAAGACCUCGUACCCACUCUUCUUUCCCAGCUGGAAAUUGCAGUCAUGAAGGCUUAUCUCCCGCUUCUUAUUGAAAGCAAAUAAUAAGAUCAAAACAGAUUCUAGGGAUUGCGUUCGACUUUAGCAUUCUAUUGAAUGAAAUAGAAAGUCAAUCUCAUUCUUGACUGUUGUCUACUGCCUACCACUAGAUUCUUUAUCUGUCAAUUCCUACUCUUACUACCCCUCCAAACAGAUCGGAUUGUGCUAGAGCUAUUCCUAGAUACUAGCGAUCCCCUGUCCUUCCACCCUUCUCUGCAGGAGGGAUCAUAGCAGGGAGCAACUACUACAAUAUUGGCCUCCUGGCCCCGUAGGGUUAGGCUCGCCACCUGACCCCGUAGGGUUAGGCUCACCAGCCGUCUUCCAUUUUCU